rnacentral:rRNA from 1 species
CUGACGCUGAGAUGCGAAAGCGUGGGGAGCAAACAGGAUUAGAUACCCUGGUAGUCCACGCUGUAAACGAUGUCGAUUUGGAGUUUGGUGGCAUGACUGCUGGGCUCCGAAGCUAACGCGUUAAAUCGACCGCCUGGGGAGUACGGCCGCAAGGUUAAAACUCAAAUGAAUUGACGGGGGCCCGCACAAGCGGUGGAGCAUGUGGUUUAAUUCGAUGCAACGCGAAGAACCUUACCUGGUCUUGACAUCCACAGAAUUUUGUAGAGAUACGAAAGUGCCUUAGGGAGCUGUGAGACAGGUGCUGCAUGGCUGUCGUCAGCUCGUGUUGUGAAAUGUUGGGUUAAGUCCCGCAACGAGCGCAACCCUUAUCCUUUGUUGCCAUCGGUUAGGCCGGGAACUCAAAGGAGACUGCCGUUGAUAAAGCGGAGGAAGGUGGGGACGACGUCAAGUCAUCAUGGCCCUUACGACCAGGGCUACACACGUGCUACAAUGGCGCGUACAAAGAGAAGCAAACCAGCGAUGGCAAGCGGACCUCAUAAAGUGCGUCUAAGUUUGGAUUGGAGUCUGCAACUCGACUCCAUGAAGUCGGAAUCGCUAGUAAUCGUGAAUCAGAAUGUCACGGUGAAUACGUUCCCGGGCCUUGUACACACCGCCCGUCACACCAUGGGAGUGGGUUGCACCAGAAGUAGAUAGC